UGGGUCAGGGCAAGGGAUGCAGGGUGCUAGAUGGUUGCAGGUGUGAGGGAAGGUCUCCCAGCUGUGAGCCAACAUGGACGCCCAAGGGACAAAGGGGGUGAGAGACAAGUCAUCAAAUCGACACCAGCGAAGCAGUCUGGUCUCAUCUGACUGAAUGCGCUGAGUCCCCUUCUGAUCUGACAGUUGCUCUGAGCUGCAGGAGGGGAAGAACAUACCCUGUGGCCUGGCAGCAAAGGUGCAAAGCAGCUGCCUCGUUACCCCCCUGGUCCUGGAUACAGGGACCCAGCUGCCUCGUUACCCCCUGGUCCUGGAUACAGGUACCCAGCUGCCUCGUUACCCCCCUGGUCCUGGAUACAGGGACCCUGACACCCUGGAGAUGAGCCAAUAAACUCAACUCAUCUAGUCUUUGCUGCUUGUGUUAAAAAUAUCUCAGCCCAGCCUAGAUCCUGACAUAAACAGUAAUUUCACUGGGAGGCGGGUCUGCCUUCACUUCUGAUAUGUUACACGUGCAGUGAGCUGCAUUCUGUGCUCCUGAGAUGGCUCUGCAGAUGAAGAGUUGAGUUUCUCUCCGUUACACUAGCGUAGCUCCAUGAGCAUCCACUGAGUCACCCCCUCACCCUGGAUCUGUGAUGCUGGCGGGAGCUUUGCAAUUGCUUUUGUCACUAACGCAGGCUUAGGGCCUAAGCGAGAAGAGAAUCGCUCUGUACAUGCGCCACUUCCGGAGGCCUUUCCCAUCAGAGCCAAUGUCAAGAGCAUUCCAGAGAGAAACAUCUGUCUGCACAGAGCCCCCAGGGCACUGCACCUUUGUCUGCUCCGUCUGCUCCCUUUGCUAACAUGCAGUAAGAGAGGAUUGUCUCUUUUUAUGGCUUUCCCGGGGGACACCGAGCAGCCCCUUUUGUUCCCAGUCUGUCUUGCAAAGGGCAGUUAGUGGCCUUGAGCUGUGCAGCUGCAGCUGAUACUGCCCUCCAUGGGGACGGCACCUCAGUGGAGCACUCCGUUCUCAUGCCCUUUCGUGUCCUUGUGCUGACUCCUGCAAGGGGCAGGAUAACAUGCCCUUAGGAGAGACAGAGCCCGCCUGCUCCCUGGGUCUUCAGCAGGAUCAGCCCCCUCUAGUCAUUGCACUAAACCGGGGAGUGUUUUGAAAGGCGACAGAGGUUGCCCCGAAGAUGAUUUUGGAACAGCUGGACUCUCCCUGCACGAAGUAGCUGCGGGGAAUCUCAGGGUGGGAGGGGUGGAGCCAGGAGGAGUUCAGCUGUCUUGUUUUAGAAGGGUUUGUACAAACCCCUAAACUGCCCCUAGCCGCCCCUCCGCCCAGUAGGCAGGGUUUGCAGCUAGACAAGAGAGCUCAAUGGGCAGGAGUUAGAACAAACUAACUGAAACAGACACGGCUUAAAAACAAACUCACAUUCGAGUUAGGGUGGGGGUUAAAAACAGGCAAGCCAGGAAUUUGCUAUUGCCUCAGAGCUUUGACUGGGCUCCUGUCUGUCUUGGCUCCAGCUCCCUAGGCCUGCAAACGCUUACAUACACGCCUGAGCGCGGCCAGGAGCAGUGUGUUGGAAGACAAGUCAGACAAGCACAAAUAAGCAUGUGAGUUUUCCCCUUGACUUCACUGUGACUCCUCCCAUGCCUGAAGGUGAGCAGCCUGCAUGGAACUGUUUGCACCUCUGAGGCCUCUCAUGAUAAAUUCCCUGGGGCAGGGACCGUGUCGCCCUCUAUGUUUGCACGGUGCCCAGGGCAAUGAAGCCCCGAUCCUGAGCCGGCCUGUUGGGUAGGCCUGCCCUGCACAUGAAAAAACAGUUACAGAUUCCCCCUCAAGCUGGAUGCAGGGCCCCUGCAAAGGCUGAUGAAUCCUGGUGACCCCCAGCAGGUCUGAAGAAGGAAUGAUUAGCUCCUGAUUGUUUCCAGCGUGACCCCAAUGCUUUGCUACGACGGGAACCUGUCGGAGUACGUUUCACUGCCCAGCAAUCCCGCCAGAGCCAGGGAGAGCAUCACGCUUUCCCCUCUCUCCACACCACUCCCCGCUGAUUGGUACAGAGCAGUUGCUCUGGUAUUUAUACCCAGGUCAGCACACUGCUAUGUAUACGCCGCGGUCUGAAUUCAGGCCUGGCGUGAGGGGAGGCAGACACUGUUGGAGCCUCUUCCAUCCCAGUCCAGAGGGAGGAUAGCCAAGGACUACAGGGGGGUAAAUACCUACCUGCUUCCCAAGGGAGUGUGAGAGUGACUGAGCAAUGCUAGGGGUGAAGGGCAGGCGGUUCUCGUCCUGUGAAUACUUACAACCGUGACAUUUUUCCCACCUCGAAUGGCAUGAAAAGCUGAAUCGCUCUGCAACCUGGCAACCUGCUAUGUUAUUUAUCUAUUGUCACUUGCAAUCUAUCGAAACAUUCCCUCUUGAUUUUGACCUUUUUCCUUUUUUACUGUAAUUCGCUGAACUUUCUAAAUGAAGAGUCAUGUGGAGCUGGAAAACCAGGGCCUUUUUUUUAUAAUUGAGAAAUUUGGAAAUGAAACAGCUCGACAACUUCAAAACUUUCUUUUUUCUCUGCGCUUUUUUGAACUGGGCCAUUGGGCAAAACCAGGGCCACUGGGAAGUGACAAAUCCACACUCUUUUGACCAAAAAACCCUCACCCCUAUUUGUUGUAAAAGUCCCAACCAGCUCUAUGACGGAUCUUACAAAGAGCUCUGUCAGCAGGAGCUGGGCUUUCCAAAGCUGACCGUGAUCUGCUCCCAUUGACAUCAAUUGUAACCCCCCUCAUUGAUGCCUCUGGGCUGAUGCUGAGCACUUUGGAAAAUCCCAGCCCGUGGGCUCAGUUCGUCAUUGUGCUCUGGGCCCUUUGCAGCAGUUAGGCCAGAGGGCAGCCACCGGGCCCUGGUGUGGGAGCGCCUACAGUGGGGUUAGGAUUGGUGCCAUCUGGAGCAGCCUUGGGCACGGAGAGGAGCACAAGGCAGGCUGGGGGGGAAGGAGAGGUCAGAGCUGGUGUUUGAGGGGGUGUGGCU